rnacentral:rRNA from 1 species
AAUAGAUACCCAGGUAGUCCACGCCGUAAACGAUGGAUACUAGGUGUGGGAGGUAUCGAACCCUUCCGUGCCGCAGUAAACGCAAUAAGUAUCCCGCCUGGGGAGUACGGCCGCAAGGUUGAAACUCAAAGGAAUUGACGGGGGCCCGCACAAGCAGCGGAGCAUGUGGUUUAAUUCGAAGCAACGCGAAGAACCUUACCAGAACUUGACAUCUCCUGCAUUACCCGUAAUUGGGGAAGUCCUUCGGGACAGGAAGACAGGUGGUGCAUGGUUGUCGUCAGCUCGUGUCGUGAGAUGUUGGGUUAAGUCCCGCAACGAGCGCAACCCUUAUUGUUAGUUGCCAUCAUUUAGUUGGGCACUCUAAUGAGACUGCCGGGGACAACUCGGAGGAAGGUGGGGAUGACGUCAAAUCAUCAUGCCCCUUAUGUUCUGGGCUACACACGUGCUACAAUGGGCGCAACAACGGGAAGCAAGCUAGUGAUAGUGAGCAAAUCCCUAAAAAUCGCUCUCAGUUCAGAUUGUAGGCUGAAACUCG